rnacentral:tRNA from 1 species
GAAAGAGAAGUUGAUUUAAUAUUAGUUUGUCAGACUGAAGGUGGAAAAUAC